rnacentral:rRNA from 1 species
AGAGUUUAAGCCUGGCUCAGGAUGAACGCUAGCGGCAGGGUUAACACAAGCAAGUCGAGGGGUAACAGGAAUAGCUUGCUAUUAGCUGACGAGACCGGCGCACGGGUGAGUAACGCGUACGCAACCUACCUUUUACUGGAGAAUAGCCUUUAGAAAUGAAGAUUAAUACUCCAUAAUAAUAGAGACUUCUCCUGAGUUUUUAUUUAAAGUUUCGGCGGUAAAAGAUGGGCAUGCGUUUUAUUAGGUAGUUGGUAAGGUAACGGCUUACCAAGACUACGAUAAAUAGGGGUCCUGAGAGGGAGAUCCCCCACACUGGUACUGAGACACGGACCAGACUCCUACGGGAGGCAGCAGUGAGGAAUAUUGGACGAUGGGCGAGAGCCUGAUCCAGCCAUGCCGCGUGCAGGAAGACGGCCCUAUGGGUUGUAAUCUGCUUUUAUACAGGAAGAAACCACCCUACGUGUAGGGUGCUGACGGUACUGUAAGAAUAAGGACCGGCUAACUCCGUGCCAGCAGCCGCGGUAAUACGGAGGGUCCAAGCGUUAUCCGGAAUCAUUGGGUUUAAAUGGUCCGUAGGCGGACUAUUAAGCAAGAGGUGAAAUCCCACAGCUUAACUGUAAAAUUGCCUUUGAUACUGUUUAUCUUGAAUUACUGUGAAGUGGUUAGAAUAUGUAGUGUAGCGGUGAAAUGCUUAGAGAUUACAUAGAAUACCGAUUGCGAAGGCAGAUCACUAACAGUAUAUUGACGCUGAUGAACGAAAGCGUGGGUAGCGAACGGGAUUAGAUACCCCGGUAGUCCACGCCGUAAACGAUGGUUACUAGCUGUUCGAACUUCGGUUUGAGUGGCUAAGCGAAAGUGAUAAGUAACCCACCUGGGGAGUACGUUCGCAAGAAUGAAACUCAAAGGAAUUGACGGGGGCCCGCACAAGCGGAGGAACAUGUGGUUUAAUUCGAUGAUACGCGAGGAACCUUACCUGGGCUUAAAUGUAGAUUGACAGGACUGGAAACGGUUUUUUCUUCGGACAAUUUACAAGGUGCUGCAUGGUUGUCGUCAGCUCGUGCCGUGAGGUGUCGGGUUAAGUCCCAUAACGAGCGCAACCCCUAUCGUUAGUUGCUAGCAGGUAAUGCUGAGGACUCUAGCGAGACUGCCGGUGUAAACCGUGAGGAAGGUGGGGAUGACGUCAAAUCAGCACGGCCCUUAUGUCCAGGGCUACACACGUGUUACAAUGGUAGAUACAAAGAGCAGCUAUGUGGUGACACAGUGCUAAUCUCAAAAGUCUAUCUUAGUUCGGAUCGGAGUCUGCAACUCGACUUCGUGAAGUUGGAUUCGCUAGUAAUCGUAUAUCAGCCAUGAUACGGUGAAUACGUUCCCGGGCCUUGUACACACCGCCCGUCAAGCCAUGGAAGUUGGGGGUACCUGAAGUCCGUAACCGUAAGGAGCGGCCUAGGGUAAAACUAGUAACUGGGGCUAAGUCGAAACAAGGUAGCCAGGUAACCAAGUCGUAACAAGGUAACCA